rnacentral:rRNA from 1 species
CCCUUAGAUGUUCUGGGCCGCACGCGUGCUACACUGAGUGGAUCAGCGGGUCAGGUUGCGCGAAAGCGUUUCCUAAUCUUUAAAUCCGCUCGUGAUGGGGAUUGACGGUUGCAAUUUUCUGUCAUGAACGAGGAAUACCUUGUAAGCGCGGGUCAUCAUCCCGCGCUGAAUACGUCCCUGCCCUUUGUACACAGCGCCCGUCGCUCCUACCGAUUGAGUGGUCCGGUGAGGCUUUGGGAUCUGAGCGGAAAGAGCGUUUCGCUGUUUCUGCUCGGAAAACUCAGUCGAACCUUAUCAUUUAGAGGAAGGAGAAGUCGUAACA